rnacentral:rRNA from 1 species
GAUGAACGCUGGCGGCGUGCCUAAUACAUGCAAGUCGAGCGAACAGACGAGGAGCUUGCUCCUCUGACGUUAGCGGCGGACGGGUGAGUAACACGUGGAUAACCUACCUAUAAGACUGGGAUAACUUCGGGAAACCGGAGCUAAUACCGGAUAAUAUAUUGAACCGCAUGGUUCAAUAGUGAAAGACGGUUUUGCUGUCACUUAUAGAUGGAUCCGCGCCGCAUUAGCUAGUUGGUAAGGUAACGGCUUACCAAGGCGACGAUGCGUAGCUGACCUGAGAGGGUGAUCAGCCACACUGGAACUGAGACACGGUCCAGACUCCUACGGGAGGCAGCAGUAGGGAAUCUUCCGCAAUGGGCGAAAGCCUGACGGAGCAACGCCGCGUGAGUGAUGAAGGUCUUCGGAUCGUAAAACUCUGUUAUUAGGGAAGAACAAAUGUGUAAGUAACUAUGCACGUCUUGACGGUACCUAAUCAGAAAGCCACGGCUAACUACGUG